rnacentral:rRNA from 1 species
AAUACUUAGGAAUCUGCCCAUUAAUGGGGGACAACAGUUGGAAACGACUGCUAAUACCGCAUACGCCCUACGGGGGAAGGCAGGGGAUCUUCGGACCUUGCGUUAAUGGAUGAGCCUAAGUCGGAUUAGCUAGUUGGUGGGGUAAAGGCCUACCAAGGCGACGAUCUGUAGCGGGUCUGAGAGGAUGAUCCGCCACACUGGGACUGAGACACGGCCCAGACUCCUACGGGAGGCAGCAGUGGGGAAUAUUGGACAAUGGGGGGAACCCUGAUCCAGCCAUGCCGCGUGUGUGAAGAAGGCCUUUUGGUUGUAAAGCACUUUAAGCGAGGAGGAGGCUACUAGUAUUAAUACUACUGGAUAGUGGACGUUACUCGCAGAAUAAGCACCGGCUAACUCUGUGCCAGCAGCCGCGGUAAUACAGAGGGUGCGAGCGUUAAUCGGAUUUACUGGGCGUAAAGCGUGCGUAGGUGGCCAAUUAAGUCAAAUGUGAAAUCCCCGAGCUUAACUUGGGAAUUGCAUUCGAUACUGGUUGGCUAGAGUAUGGGAGAGGAUGGUAGAAUUCCAGGUGUAGCGGUGAAAUGCGUAGAGAUCUGGAGG